GGGCUGCACCGGGGCCUGAGGCAGCCAGGGCGGACUGGGCUGUCCCCGCCUCCUCCCAGGACCUGCCCCUCCACAGCCACCCUCCACAGUCCCCAGCCUGAGCCUUGUCCCCUGAGAUGGGCUGAUGGCUCUUGCUGCCCUCGCUGGAGACAUGGGCCUGAGGCUGACCGGGGAAUCUGUCCCUGGAACAUUUGGCAGGACACGGGGCCAAAGCACUCAGAGUCACGAGGAACCAACACACAGCCCAGUGCCACACGGGAUGACCGAGGGACCCUGGCUCGGCACGUGGGGACAGCUGGGGAAGUGUGUCUGUGCUGGUGCUAUCACCUGGUCACUGCUGGUUCUCUGCUGUGCUGCAGGUGUGGGCUGGAGAACGGAGGGCAGCCCGAGAGCUGAGAGCUGUGUGUGUGAGUGUGAGUGUGUGCUGAGUGUAAGAGAGAGUGUGUGGAUAUGAGUGUGUGUGAGAGUGAGUGUGAGUAUGUGUGUGAAUGAGGGUGAGUGUGUGAUAGAGUGUGUAAGUGUGUGUGAGUGUGAGUGUGUAUGAGUGUGUGUGGGUGUGUGAGAGAGUACUUAGAGAAUG
rnacentral:lncRNA from 1 species